rnacentral:rRNA from 1 species
AUGGCAACACCAGGUGUGCUGUGCGUGAGCUCUACUCCGGAACAGCCAGUAAUUCGGUUUGUGCCUCCAGCAAGGCAACGACAGAAAAGAUGUGUGCACCGUGGGAGCAAGAAGUGUCGCAAUAGGAAAUGGAAAACACCUUCCGGGAGUGGGUCAUCUUCAUCGGAUAGCUCUGACAGUGAUGCAGGUGCGACGCAAGACGACCAACAAGGAGGAGCCGCAGAGCAGAGCAUUCCCCCAGAUGGAUUACACGGUGAGGUACAUAUGCGUCCCAAUGAUACAGCCAGGGGCGUAGGCUAUGGAGUUGGGGUCAUCACUCGUCAAGAAACAGGGGACUAUGUGUUCCCUGGAAUAACAAGUAAGAUAUCAUAUGACUGA